CUACGUCUCCAUUUUGUCCUACUGUCUCUCUCUUGUCCUACUGUCUCCAUCUUACGUGUGUGAAUUCAAUUUGUUCUAUUAUCUCCACCUUAUCCUACUGUCUAUAAAUUUUCCUACUGUCUCCACCUUGUGAUGCUUUUCCACCACACUCUUUCUACUGUCUUUAAAUUGUUAAAUUGUCCUUUUGUCUCCACCUUGUCCUUCUGUCGUUAAAUUGUUCUACUGUCUCAAUCCUGUCCUACUAUCUCCACCUUGUUCAGCUCUCAUAAUAUUUCCCUACAAUCUCUGUCUUGUUUUAUUGUCUCCAUAUUUUUUGUUAAAAAAAAUAUAUUUGUUGUGUAAAUAUAAAAACACAGCUCCAGUCUGCUAAUGUUCUACAAAUCUCCCCAGCACCACCGUAUGCCACCAGCCUUCAGAUUCAGUGUCUCUCCCACGGGACCUCCCCACUCAAGUUCCAAUGGAGCAAAGUAAAGGGAUCACUCCCAGACCUAGAGCCCUCCAUAUAAAUCUGACCAAAGCAGCUGAUACUGGAACCUACCGCUGUGUGGUCCGCAAUAAAGUGGGAAUGAGUGAGGCCUUUGCUCAAGUCAGUAUUUUGGCUCCAUUUGCUCUCAGAGUUUCGCCCCUAAUUGACACACAGCCCAUAAGUGGAACAGCAGAGUUUACCAUUGGAGACCCCCAGGCCCGGAUCUAGUGGUUAAAGAAGGAGGCCAGUUACCAGCGGGACAUCAGCUUUGCCCAAAGGGAGGAUUAAUAUUCACAUCUCCGUGCAGACAGUGUUGGCUGGAAUUCUGUGGAGUUUGAUUGUCUUGCCCUUGGAGACCCUCAAGCAAAGGUGUAAUGGAGUAAGGUGGGCUGCCGCUUGCCUGCUGAUGCUGUGAUUAGUGGUGGCACUCUAAGGUUUGAGCAAGUGAAACAGUCAGACGCUGGCCAGUACCAAUGUACAGCAGCCAAUGAUGUUGGAGAGGUGCAAUCUCAUGUCAUUCAAUCUCUUUUUCACUAACUGCUUCCAACGAGCGCAUCUCUGUGCCAGGCAAUGGGUUCCAUCUGGAGACCAGGAAGGAGAAGACCUGCUAUGGAGCCUUCUUGCCUUAGAAUAGACAAUAAGAUCCAUCUUUUGAAUUUCCUCAUAGCUGUUCUGAUUGGACAGGGCAGAAAAUCCGUUUGUCCAAAGAUGUCCAUGUAUCUUCUUGUAGAGUCUAAACAAACAAAGCCAACUAUUGGACACAGACAUUAGAGACGAUGCCUUCCAGUUGUUUCUUGGAGGACAGAAAAACACGUGGGUUGGUUUUAGAAUAAGCUGGAGAGCAUCUGACUUGGUCCCUAAAAUUGGACAGGGCCAUUGGAGAAAAAUGUUGAUUAAAGCAAAAAGCACAUUGUGUGAAACAAUGAGAUACUUUUAAUAUGUACAUAAGGGAUAUCCAACCUGAGGAACCCCAUCUGUUCUUUCUAUGCCCAAGGUCACCAUUCCUCUGACAUCAUCCCUUGGGGGGCUAGUGAACCACAGGUACAGUUAGGUGGGAGGAGGGUUAUCACUGGACUUUACAGUUGCCUCUUUUCCCCCAGCCCCCCCAUGUAGGUAUGGAAUCUACUUCCAUUAUAGUUUCACCACUGGUUAUGACCUUGUCUGUGCCUCAAAUGCAAUGUCCCCUCUGCUCUCCAUGGGGCUAAUUUGGGUACAGAGUUAGGGACAAAAUAUUUAUGUUGUUCCUUUAAAUUCACCAGACAAACAUAUUUUAAGGCAAAUUCGAUUCUAGGGCUUUCUGUAGAGCAAGGUCUGUUAUAGUCUUUGCGGUUAACCUUUGCCUUCAGCUCAUCACUAUGGCUGGGUGUCUCUCUCCAACUCCAUGGGGAACUGUCCACAGUAAGUGAAACAGGGGUCUACCUGCAGUUUUUGGGGGCAGUUGUAUGUAUCUACAUGUAUGAACUUAUUAGGGAUGCACCGAAUCCACUUUUUUGGAUUCGGCCGAACCCCCGAAUCCUUCGUGAAAGAUUCGGCCGAAUACCGAACCGAACCCUAAUUUGCAUAUGCAAAUUAGGGGUGGUAA